rnacentral:rRNA from 1 species
GACGUAGGGCGCGAGCGUUGUCCGGAAUUACUGGGCGUAAAGCGUGCGCAGGCGGCUUUGCAAGACAGAUGUGAAAUCCCCGGGCUUAACCUGGGAACUGCAUUUGUGACUGCAUGGCUGGAGUGUGGCAGAGGGGGAUGGAAUUCCGGCGUGUAGCAGUGAAAUGCGUAGAUAUGCGGAGAAACACCGAUGGCGAAGGCAAUCCCCUGGGCCUGCACUGACGCUCAUGCACGAAAGCGUGGGGAGCAACAGG